UCGAGAAUCUUCGGCAAUGGGCGAAAGCCUGACCGAGCGAUGCCGCGUGCGGGAUGAAGGCCUUCGGGUUGUAAACCGCUGUCGUAGGGGAGAAAGGGUCGUUGAAGAAACGACUUUGAUCUAUCCUAGGAGGAAGUCCGGGCUAAGUUCGUGCCAGCAGCCGCGGUAACACGAACCGGACAAACGUUAUUCGGAAUUACUGGGCUUAAAGGGUGCGUAGGCGGUGCGGUAAGUGCGGUGUGAAAUCCCACGGCCCAACCGUGGAAUUGCGCUGCAUACUGCCGUGCUAGAGGGAGACAGGGGUAAGCGGAACUGAUGGUGGAGCGGUGAAAUGCGUUGAUAUCAUCAGGAACACCGGUGGCGAAAGCGGCUUACUGGGUCUCUUCUGACGCUGAGGCACGAAAGCGUGGGGAGCAAACAGGAUUAGAUACCCCCGUAGUCCCUGAGCGGGCUGGCAAGGCGCAU
rnacentral:rRNA from 1 species